CGACCACCAACACCGAGAGAGCAACUCCGCGGAGGAACCGACUCACCAUUUUCGCUGUACCAAGUUACUGGAGUAGACUUGAAGCGUGGCGGUGAGGUGCAGAGCGUGUAGCACCGACACGGUGGAUAUAUAGUCCGAGCGGGCAGCGAGGCGCGGGAAGCUACACUACACGGCCAGCGCCCGUGCCGUGGCCAAUGGCGCGCCCGUGAGGAUCCUCCAUGGACGUAUUCGCGGAUGGCUAUGCUGGCCCGCCUGGACCUAGCACGACACUGCAGCGUGCGCCUGCGGCAGCUCGUGAUCUCACUCUGCGCUGCGGCCCCGGGCCAAUGGGCGCGGCCCACGCGCGCCAGGCGCGUUGAAUUCCGUGCGCGCCCACUGCCGACGAGGUCUGCGUCUUUGCCUGCUCGUCGCAGGGGAGGCUUGUCUGUGCAUGGCGGUGCCCACGGGGGCGAC
rnacentral:lncRNA from 1 species